rnacentral:rRNA from 1 species
GUGAGUCAUCGAAUCUUUGAACGCACCUUGCGCUCCUUGGUAUUCCGAGGAGCAUGCCUGUUGAGUGUCAUUAAUAUAUAUAUCAACCCUCUUUGUUGAGUGGUUUGGAUGUGAGGGUUUGCUGGACUCUUAAAAGGGUUCAGCUCCCUUGAAAUGCAUUAGCAGAACAACCUGUUCAUUGGUGUGAUAACUAUCUACACUAUUGAAUGCAAUGGCCAGUUCAGCUUUCUAACCGUCCUUGGACAAUUUAUCAUUAAUGUGACCUCAAAUCAGGUAGGACUACCCGCUGAACUUAAGCAUAUCAAUAAGCGGAGG